rnacentral:rRNA from 1 species
UUCGGGGUACACGAGCGGCGAACGGGUGAGUAACACGUGGGUGAUCUGCCUCGCACUCUGGGAUAAGCCUGGGAAACUGGGUCUAAUACCGGAUAUGACCUUACAUCGCAUGGUGUUUGGUGGAAAGAUUUAUCGGUGCGAGAUGGGCCCGCGGCCUAUCAGCUUGUUGGUGGGGUAAUGGCCUACCAAGGCGACGACGGGUAGCCGGCCUGAGAGGGCGACCGGCCACACUGGGACUGAGACACGGCCCAGACUCCUACGGGAGGCAGCAGUGGGGAAUAUUGCACAAUGGGCGAAAGCCUGAUGCAGCGACGCCGCGUGAGGGAUGACGGCCUUCGGGUUGUAAACCUCUUUCGACAGGGACGAAGCGCAAGUGACGGUACCUGUAGAAGAAGCACCGGCCAACUACGUGCCAGCAGCCGCGGUAAUACGUAGGGUGCGAGCGUUGUCCGGAAUUACUGGGCGUAAAGAGCUUGUAGGCGGCUUGUCGCGUCGAUCGUGAAAACUUGGGGCUCAACCCCAAGCUUGCGGUCGAUACGGGCAGGCUUGAGUACUUCAGGGGAGACUGGAAUUCCUGGUGUAGCGGUGAAAUGCGCAGAUAUCAGGAGGAACACCGGUGGCGAAGGCGGGUCUCUGGGAAGUAACUGACGCUGAGAAGCGAAAGCGUGGGUAGCGAACAGGAUUAGAUACCCUGGUAGUCCACGCCGUAAACGGUGGGUACUAGGUGUGGGUUUCCUUCCACGGGAUCCGUGCCGUAGCUAACGCAUUAAGUACCCCGCCUGGGGAGUACGGCCGCAAGGCUAAAACUCAAAGGAAUUGACGGGGGCCCGCACAAGCGGCGGAGCAUGUGGAUUAAUUCGAUGCAACGCGAAGAACCUUACCUGGGUUUGACAUACACCGGAAAACCUGCAGAGAUGUAGGCCCCCUUGUGGUCGGUGUACAGGUGGUGCAUGGCUGUCGUCAGCUCGUGUCGUGAGAUGUUGGGUUAAGUCCCGCAACGAGCGCAACCCUUAUCUUAUGUUGCCAGCGCGUAGUGGCGGGGACUCGUGAGAGACUGCCGGGGUCAACUCGGAGGAAGGUGGGGACGACGUCAAGUCAUCAUGCCCCUUAUGUCCAGGGCUUCACACAUGCUACAAUGGCCGGUACAGAGGGCUGCGAUACCGUGAGGUGGAGCGAAUCCCUUAAAGCCGGUCUCAGUUCGGAUCGGGGUCUGCAACUCGACCCCGUGAAGUUGGAGUCGCUAGUAAUCGCAGAUCAGCAACGCUGCGGUGAAUACGUUCCCGGGCCUUGUACACACCGCCCGUCACGUCAUGAAAGUCGGUAACACCCGAAGCCGGUGG